rnacentral:piRNA from 1 species
UAGCUUAAAUUGUGUAUACAGUCAAAUAAA